rnacentral:misc_RNA from 1 species
UUUCGAUAAACGAAAUUGAAUUUUCAGGGGAACAAAAGCGUACUUCAUCGGCCAUGCUCGACAAAAGCGGAAAAUAAUUCCGCGUUGGUUAUUUCGAUGAUUCGAUUUACACAGAGCAGUAUCUCAGUCGCUUAAUCGGAUAAUCUUCCGUAGAUUCGCUUUCACGGACGAUACAGCGGCAAUAACGAAGAAAUAACAAGCAAGGGGUUGUCGACACUCCACGAUCAUUUUCUUUCUGAGAACUCCGAACGCACAGGGGUGAACUGUUGGAGAAGCAUAAGGCGAUGGAACGAGUUUUACUCGACCACCAAGGAAACUUUUUUACCGAUUCGUCAGAAGCCAGAAGCAGCCGUUAACUUUCGACCAAAGCAACUUACUUUCUC